rnacentral:rRNA from 2 species
GGUUAAGCGACUAAGCGUACACGGUGGAUGCCCUGGCAGUCAGAGGCGAUGAAGGACGUGCUAAUCUGCGAAAAGCGUCGGUAAGGUGAUAUGAACCGUUAUAGCCGGCGAUGUCCGAAUGGGGAAACCCAGUGUGAUUCGUCACACUAUCGUUAACUGAAUACAUAGGUUAACGAGGCGAACCGGGGGAACUGAAACAUCUAAGUACCCCGAGGAAAAGA